UGCCUUUCAAAUUUUAGCCUACAUAUGUAAUCUGCUGGACUAGUUCCAGUAUUUUCUACAUCAACAAUGUGAAAAAGCAUUUAAGUAGUUUACUGUAUUAAACAUAAAUCUCAGUACUUAGCUUUUCCAAUUGUAUUUGAAAUCAGUAUACAGUAACAUUUUUCAUGCAAGCUUCUAUGCAAAAAUUUUAAAAUUCCAACCGAGGGUCACUACGUAGUCAACAGUGUGUAAAAAAUAUAAUAGAGAUUAGCUGAGAUAACAUUAGCAAAAGGGUUUUUAAAUUAAAAUUCCACAGGUACUUUCACUUGUUUCUUGGAGUUUUUUGUUUUGUUUUUGUUUUUCGGUACCAAGGAUCAAACUCAGGACCUUGUGUUUGGCAGGCAGGCCCGGUACCACUGAGCUACAUUCCUGGUAACGUUCAUUUGUUUUAGAAAAAGUAAAAUGCAUCUUGUGGGGAAUUCUCUGUUGCUAUUCAGAAUGACCAGGGAUUCUUAGAUCUUUUUUGUGGCCAGUGAGUUGGCCAUUUUAAUAUGAAUUAUUCCUUAUACUCAUAUGAUUUAAAUUGAAAACUUAUAGGUUGAAGGUUUACAUUAAGGCUAUAUUUAUAUUUAUAAUUUAUUUAAGCUUAAGACCAAACCGUUGUAAAAGAUUCUGUGUCCCAGAAUUCAAAGUAUUUCGUAGCUUUUUUAGCAGUUGGAGCCGCUCAUCGAAGCCUUUCCUCAUUCCACCAGAUGGGGGCAGCAGAGCGAAGCGAGUGUAAACGCGCUGCUCAGCCCUGAAGUCAGGGACGCAGCUGCCUGGUUUGCCACCGGCCUGGCCAGCGCAAGGUCCGAAUUCGAUCGCGGGCCCGUCCCUUUCAGCGUUCACACACGGCUCACGACGGUGACAUCGCCGUGGACGUGGCGCGGCGCAUCCUCUUACGCCCGCUGCCUCUCCUGCGGCCUCGGUUCCCGGGCAGCUG
rnacentral:lncRNA from 1 species